CCUACGGGUGGCAGCAGUGAGGAAUAUUGGUCAAUGGACGAAAGUCUGAACCAGCCAAGUAGCGUGAAGGAUGACUGCCCUAUGGGUUGUAAACUUCUUUUAUAUGGGAAUAAACUGUUCCACGUGUGGGAUUUUGUAUGUACCAUAUGAAUAAGGAUCGGCUAACUCCGUGCCAGCAGCCGCGGUAAUACGGAGGAUUCGAGCGUUAUCCGGAUUUAUUGGGUUAAAAGGGUGCGUAGGCGGAUCGUUAAGUUAGUGGUAAAAUUGGGGGGCUCAACCCCUAACCGCCUUUGAAACUGGCGCUCUUGAGUGGAAGAGCGGUAGGCGGAAUGCAUGGUGUAGCGGUGAAAUGCUUAGAGAUCACGCAGAACCCCGAUUGCGAAGGCAGCAUACC
rnacentral:rRNA from 1 species